UACCCAUGUGGGGAAGGAUGAGAAGCUUCGACUAAGGUUCGAUUCGAGCGCAGCGAGAAAGCGUUGCCGCAGGCAACGACCCGAAGGGCGAAGCGCGCAGCGCUGAGUCAUCCUUCCCCCACCACCA
rnacentral:sRNA from 1 species